GACGAACGCUGACGGUGUGCUUUAGACAUGCAAGUCGAACGAGAAAGCCCUUCGGGGUUAGUAAAGUGGCGAACGGGUGAGUAACACGUGGGCAAUCUGCCCCUCGCAGGGGGACAACCGGAGGAAACUCCGGCGUAAUACCCCGUAAAGUUCAAAGGGAGGCAUCUCUCUUCGAAGAAAGGUAGCUUCGGCCAUCCGGCGAGGGAUGAGCCCGCGGUGUAUUAGCUAGUU
rnacentral:rRNA from 1 species